rnacentral:snoRNA from 1 species
CCCCUCUCAGGAUUACACCCGGAGAGUUUUCAGUACUCUACCAGUCUUGGCUAUGGGAGGGACAGUCAAGCAGAGGCCUACCCAUUCCAUUCUUAGCUUGGGCAGUGGCUAGCGAAUGGAAGGCAGUAUGCCACAAGU